CUCGUGGAACAGAAUCAUAUACUGCAAGAAUAUGAACAAUGUACUGCUACAUGUAACAUGAAUUUCACACACAAAAAAGAUGAGUAAAGAAGAUAACACAAAAGAAUAUAUCCCACUGUCUCAUAUACACA